GUUUGAAGGUAACAAGCUCGUCAUUUGGAUGUCUGGAUGCAGCGAUCGGUCCGACACUUUGGGAGGGUACUCUUAUUGUCUCCGGCCAUCCUUGGCUCUAUCUUGUCUGGCAUUAGGUUGUCUUUUAGGGGAAGCACAUCGUUUACUGUGAAAAAAUAAGAGUGUUCAAAGCAGGCUUACGCCGUUGAAUAUAUUAGCAUGGAAUAAUAAGAUAGGACCUCGGUACUAUUUUGUUGCCUUGUGUCCCAAGACAAUGAUUAAUUUGGGACAGUUGGGUUUAUUCGUAUUCUGUUGUCAGAGCUGAAAUCGCC
rnacentral:rRNA from 1 species